AACGCACAUUGCGCCCCUUGGUAUUCCGGGGGGCAUGCCUGUUCGAGCGUCAUUUCAACCCUCAAGCACUGCUUGGUAUUGAGCCCUAUGUCAGAAAUGGCAGGCUCUAAAAUCAGUGGCGGCGCCGCUGGGUCCUGAACGUAGUAAUAUCUCUCGUUACAGGUUCUCAGUGUGCUUCUGCCAAAACCCCAAAUUUUUUUAUGGUUGACCUCGGAUCAGGUAGGGAUACCCGCUGAACUUAA
rnacentral:misc_RNA from 1 species